GCAGUCUACUAGACGACCGCUUGGCCUUAAAACCAAGAGGAAAGUCCGGGCAGCAAAGGAUACGACAGUCGCUAACGGCGACCGGGGGUAACCCUAGGGAAAGUGCCACAGAAACUGUACCGCCUCGUGAAUGCUGUGCAAUUUGGUCUUCGGGCUCGGUUGUUACAGAGAGGUAAGGGUGAAAAGAGUGAGGUAAGAGCUCACAGCGUCAUAUGGUGACAUAUGGAGAAGGUAAACCCUGUCGGCUGCAAGGAGAUCAGCAUAACGAGUGAUCCGCUCGCUGGUCGAUACCCGCUUGAUUGUAUCAGCAAUGGUAUAGCUAGAUAGAUGGUCGUCCUCGACAAAACCCGGCUUACAGGUCGACUGCCUAU
rnacentral:RNase_P_RNA from 2 species